UGAGGAAUAUUGGUCAAUGGGCGUUAGCCUGAACCAGCCAAGUAGCGUGAAGGAUGAAGGCUCUAUGGGUCGUAAACUUCUUUUAUAUAAGAAUAAAGUGCAGUAUGUAUACUGUUUUGUAUGUAUUAUAUGAAUAAGGAUCGGCUAACUCCGUGCCAGCAGCCGCGGUAAUACGGAGGAUCCGAGCGUUAUCCGGAUUUAUUGGGUUUAAAGGGAGCGUAGGUGGACUGGUAAGUCAGUUGUGAAAGUUUGCGGCUCAACCGUAAAAUUGCAGUUGAUACUGUCAGUCUUGAGUACAGUAGAGGUGGGCGGAAUUCGUGGUGUAGCGGUGAAAUGCUUAGAUAUCACGAAGAACUCCGAUUGCGAAGGCAGCCUGCUAAGCUGCAACUGACAUUGAGGCUCGAAAGUGUGGGGUAUCAAACAGGAUUAGAUACC
rnacentral:rRNA from 1 species